rnacentral:rRNA from 1 species
GGGUGAGUAACACGUGGGCAACCUGCCCAAAAGAGGGGGAUAACACUUGGAAACAGGUGCUAAUACCGCAUAACCAUAGUUACCGCAUGGUAACUAUGUAAAAGGUGGCUAUGCUACCGCUUUUGGAUGGGCCCGCGGCGCAUUAGCUAGUUGGUGGGGUAAAGGCUUACCAAGGCAAUGAUGCGUAGCCGAACUGAGAGGUUGAUCGGCCACAUUGGGACUGAGACACGGCCCGAACUCCUACGGGAGGCAGCAGUAGGGAAUCUUCCACAAUGGGCGAAAGCCUGAUGGAGCAACGCCGCGUGGGUGAAGAAGGUCUUCGGAUCGUAAAACCCUGUUGUUAGAGAAGAAAGUGCGUGAGAGUAACUGUUCACGUUUCGACGGUAUCUAACCAGAAAGCCACGGCUAACUACGUGCCAGCAGCCGCGGUAAUACGUAGGUGGCAAGCGUUAUCCGGAUUUAUUGGGCGUAAAGGGAACGCAGGCGGUCUUUUAAGUCUGAUGUGAAAGCCUUCGGCUUAACCGGAGUAGUGCAUUGGAAACUGGGAGACUUGAGUGCAGAAGAGGAGAGUGGAACUCCAUGUGUAGCGGUGAAAUGCGUAGAUAUAUGGAAGAACACCAGUGGCGAAAGCGGCUCUCUGGUCUGUAACUGACGCUGAGGUUCGAAAGCGUGGGUAGCAAACAGGAUUAGAUACCCUGGUAGUCCACGCCGUAAACGAUG